UCUGCGCCCGAGGCGGUCUCGCCGCGGGCCAGGGCGGGUUCCGGCCGCUUCUGCGCGGUCGGCUCCGGCCGCGGCGUCCGGGCUGCGCGGGGCUCGGCGCGGCGCAGUGUCCGGCGGCCUCUCGGUCCGGGUCUUCUCCUGAGGAGGAGCGGCGCGCCCGGCGACCCGAGACUGAGCGCGGACAGAAAUGGCCACCCGGUCAAUGAGCAAAGCGCAAGGAAAACCGUGCGGGCCCCGGACUAGCAGAAGCCUCGACACGCUUUCUCCUGCGUAGUCCUCAACCUGGUCAACUGUCCAAGCCCUGCCUCUGGAGUCAAGUCCUGCCACCUACCUCAGGAACACUCUCUUGGUCUCUGCCAUUCAGAGGUAGUGAUUGGCAGGUCACAUCCUGUGGUCAGUCUGAAAAUGGUUGGGAACCCAAGACAGCUUUUCCUGAAGCCCUGCAACUGAAGCUAGAGGACUUAAAAACUUAAGGAGAAAUCGUCACAGGAACUUAUAGAUAAACAGCCUUUGUUCCUGUUGAUAUAUGGACUACUUAGAAAGUUCACUUGAACACCCUGUUAGAACUAUGAUCCAGGAAAAUCUGUCAGAUUGCCAUUUCAAUCUGAAGAUGCUCCAGAUGCUUCGGAUUGAGGCAAGCUGGAAAAGCUAGUCUACGGAUGAUUCCAGAUAUUCACCUUUUUUUUUUUUUU